rnacentral:lncRNA from 1 species
UAUGCUCAGAUGUUUUACUCAUAAAGGUCAUCUAUUGUUUGUUUAUACUCACUUUUCUGAUUUUAGAAACACAAGAAAUAAGAAGACCAUUUUGAGAAGAACAGAGAGUAGCCUUAAGAAAAUCCCUGUCGCAUGCACUCUGGGAUUUGGACUCAAAUCCUAAUUAUACAGUCUAUAAUGAUGACUGGAAUAGGAAAUUCGGACAGCACAAGUGGUCGCUUCUUAGGCUUCCUGCCAGAUUUUGAAAACCACUAUAACAAGUCGUUUCUGCCAAGGGCUAGGAGAAUUGGGAAAGUACCUGGAUUAUCAGCAAGGAUGGUGGGAAGGAGGAAUAUGAGCACACACUGCAAGGCAGGAUG